rnacentral:lncRNA from 1 species
AAUCAUGUCAAAUUUAAAUUUAUUUGUUGCUGGAAGCAUUCAUCAAGGUAGCGAACGGUAGCGAACCUUUAGCAAACAAAUCGGCCGUUGUAAACGCGAACCAUGCAUCCAUAGGACCUCAAUGAGACUAUAGGGAUGGUUAGGGAUAAACCAAUGAAUUACCUAAAACAGAAAGUAAUGCUAACUAUAGUAUAUAAGUAAACUUAAGAAGUAGUGUACGUAUAGCAGUUUACUGUAUGCGAGUAAUACAAGUAUUUGAUAAUGGACACACUAUUUUAUACUCGGGUACAGUAAUAAAAUUUUCCAUAAGGAGUAAUUUGACAAACGUUUACUGUGUGAAACAAUGGAUUGUUGAGAAUCUUAACAUGAUUGUAUAUUCCACGAAGGAAGUGUAAAAAAGCUUGACUCAAAUAAUACGUGUCAACGCUUGGACAGUAGUUUUUGUAAACAUAUAUAAAUAAUAGAUAUAUAUUUGAAAUAUGUUGAAGUUGUAUUUGAAAUACGACUGGACGACACUUAUAAUACUUCAAAAGUAUCUUUACUGCUGUUUGUGUACAAAUAAACUUGAAUAAAAUAAAGUGUUGUUUUGUUUUGUUUUGUUUUGCUUUGCUUUGUUUUGUUUUGUUUUGUUUUGUUUUGUUUUGUUUUGUUUUGUUUUGUUUUGUUUUGUUUUGUU